rnacentral:rRNA from 1 species
GUGGGGAAUAUUGGACAAUGGGCGCAAGCCUGAUCCAGCCAUGCCGCGUGAGUGAUGAAGGACUUAGGGUUGUAAAGCUCUUUCAGUGGGGACGAUAAUGACGGUACCCACAGAAGAAGCCCCGGCUAACUUCGUGCCAGCAGCCGCGGUAAUACGAAGGGGGCUAGCGUUGUUCGGAUUUACUGGGCGUAAAGCGCACGUAGGCGGAUCGUUAAGUCGGGGGUGAAAUCCUGGAGCUCAACUCCAGAACUGCCUUCGAUACUGGCGAUCUUGAGUCCGGAAGAGGUGAGUGGAACUCCUAGUGUAGAGGUGGAAUUCGUAGAUAUUAGGAAGAACACCAGUGGCGAAGGCGGCUCACUGGUCCGGUACUGACGCUGAGGUGCGAAAGCGUGGGGAGCAAACAGGAUUAGAUACCCGAGUAGUCC